GAUGAAGAACGCAGCGAAAUGCGAUAAGUAAUGUGAAUUGCAGAAUUCAGUGGAUCAUCGAAUCUUUGAACGCACAUUGCGCCCCUUGGUAUUCCGAGGGGCAUGCCUGUUCGAGCGUCAUUUCAACCCUCAAGCUCUGCUUGGUCUUGGGCCUGGCCGUGAUGGCCGGUCUUAAAAUCAGUGGCGGUGCCGUCGCAGGCUCCAAGCGUAGUACAUCUCUCGCUCUGGAAACUUGGCGGUGCCUGCCAGACAACCCCUAAUUGUCUCUUUCGGUUGACCUCGGAUCAGGUAGGGAUACCCGCUGAACUUAAGCAUAUCAAUAAGCGGAGGA
rnacentral:misc_RNA from 1 species